CCGCACUCUCUGCUCUCUUCCCCGAUCCCCUCCCACGAACCCUAGCAUCCUGGUGCCGCCACCCCUUCCUUCUCCCGCCCCCCACCCUCCCCCGCGCCGCGAGCCCCUCCCUCCACUUCGUCGCCACCGCUGUCUCUCCUCUUCCUCCCCGCUCUAGCCCCUCCAGGUCGUCCGCUCGCGGUGGUUCCAGAUCCUGCGCUGGUCGUCCCCAUGGGUGAGGAGGGGAGGUUGGGUCUUCAAGGUUGGCGGAGGUGCAGGGGAGACCGGCAGCGUGGGGAGGAGCAGUGAGCCAGGAGCCAGGGAGAGGCCAACGUCGGGGACAAGAAGCAGCGGGGCCAGCCGCCCAUCGCGGUGGUUUGGAGGGAGAGGGAGAGGGAGGAGGUCGGCCACGAGAGAAGGAGCAGGCCGGCCCUACUUCGUCAUGGAGGAUGUCCAGCUGCUCGUCCUCCUCCGCCUCUUCUCCAAGCGUCCAUCCUAUCCCAACUCAGCUUCAGAAUUGGGUGCGUAUGAACAAUGCAACGGAGGUUAUGUUAAUUCCUAGAAUCUUAUAUGUUCUUUUGUCUCCUGGUGAUUACUUCGAAUGGCUGUGUGAGGUAAUAGAGCUAAUACCUUUUGUUUCUUCAUCACUAUAAACCGUGUCUGAUUUUAAAACUGAGAGCCAUAAAAUAUAUGCAUUAAUCUCUCUUGAUAUUUUCCCAUACGACCAACAUUAAUCUAUGUUGAUGUGUUCUAUGCCAAUUCAUUGCCGAUGGAGUGCCAACAUUAAUCGUAUAUGAAAUUUAGUUCUAACUUGCAAAAAUGUUCUGAUUACUGUUUGUGUGUGUGUGGCUACACAUCUGUGCCGUUCCAGCUGCUCUGUUCUUACUUUGAACACCGAGUUGAGCAGUGGUUCACGCGGGAAAAAAAUCAAACCGCUUCAAAUAAAGAAAUACUCUUCUGAAACUAUGCUCCUCUUAGGACAGACACACCUCCUGUGCAUAUGGUUGCAGGUUGUAUCCAUGCCAAGAUAGCACCUUGUAUGCAUAAGAUGGACCAUAUUUUGAAUAUACGAAAAAUCAAUUUAUUUAGUUUUCUUGCUGUCAGAAUAAGAGCGUGAAACCAACUUCCAUCAAACACAUAUCUGCAGCAUUAUACUAUGUACAUGGUGCAGAUAUAUAUAUUUGUUGACCAAGCAAUUCCUUUCUUCUGAGUAAACGAACAUAUAAACCCGGAAGAACUGCUAGCUAGGACCAAGGCCUCCACGUCAGCUUUAAAUCGCUAUUGCCACCGCCUGCAAAUUCUGUGCCCCGCCAAGGGCAUUUUAGUCUUUUCACCUUUGGGUAUAAAAAGCAGCCCUCCCGUGGAGAAACCCUAGCAGCGCCCUCCGCCCGCACUCGAGCCCCGCACUCGCACCUCCGCCCGCACUCUCUGCUCUCUUCCCCGAUCCCCUCCCACGAACCCUAGCAUCCUGGUGCCGCCACCCCUUCCUUCCCCCGUCCCUCCCCCACCCCUCCCCCACGCCGCGAGCCCCUCCCUCCACUUCGUCGCCACCGCUGUCUCUCCUCUUCCUCCCCGCUCUAGCCCCUCCAGGUCGUCGCUCGCGGUGGUUCCAGAUCCUGCGCUGGUCGUCCCCAUGGGUGAGGAGGAGAGGUUGGGUCUUCAAGGUUGGCGGAGGUGCAGGGGAGACCGGCAGCGUGGGGAGGAGCAGUGAGCCAGGAGCCAGGGAGAGGCCAACGUCGGGGACAAGAAGCAGCGGGGCCAGCCGUCCAUCGCGGUGGUUUGGAGGGAGAGGGAGAGGGAGGAGGUCGACCACGAGAGAAGGAGCAGGCCGGCCCUGCUUCGUCAUGGAGGAUGUCCAGCUGCUCGUCCUCCUCCGCCUCUUCUCCAAGCGUCCAUCCUAUCGCAACUCAGCUUCAGAAUUGGGUGCGUAUGAACAGUGCAACGGAGGUUAUGUUAAUUCCUAGAAUCUUAUAUGUUCUUUUGUCUCCUGGUGAUUACUUCGAAUGGCUGUGUGAGGUAAUAGAGCUAAUACCUUUUGUUUCUUCAUCACUAUAAACCGUGUCUGAUUUUAAAACUGAGAGCCAUAAAAUAUAUGCAUUAAUCUCUCUUGAUAUUUUCCCAUACGACCAACAUUAAUCUAUGUUGAUGUGUUCUAUGCCAAUUCAUUGCCGAUGGAGUGCCAACAUUAAUCGUAUAUGAAAUUUAGUUCUAACUUGCAAAAAUGUUCUGAUUACUGUUUGUGUGUGUGUGGCUACACAUCUGUGCCGUUCCAGCUGCUCUGUUCUUACUUUGAACACCGAGUUGAGCAGUGGAUCACGCGGGAAAAAAAUCAAACCGCUUCAAAUAAAGAAAUACUCUUCUGAAACUAUGCUCCUCUUAGGACAGACACACCUCCUGUGCAUAUGGUUGCAGGUUGUAUCCAUGCCAAGAUAGCACCUUGUAUGCAUAAGAUGGACCCCCUGUGUUUGCUCGAGUGUAUUGUACACCAAAAUCAUGAGAGCUCCACACAUAAAUUUUGCCCGGACUUACUAUGUUCGUGUAAGCAUUUGAAAUUCUUGAUGCAUUUGAGACGGUGGAAACGAGAGAAGCUGGGAGCGUAGCACUGACCGUGACUGUGAUUGCUAGAGCUCUAAGAGAUAGACGAAGGUCUCAACUGGCUGGGAAGAUUUGACAAGAGAUGUGGAGAUGGGGCACGGGGAGGGGAGGGCGAGUCGGCCUGGAGGCCCCGGUUGUGGCUUCGACUAGGCAGGCCUGGGACUCGCGGUGGCGGGCGGCCUCGCGCUGGAGCUGGUCCUGGCGGGCGGCCUCGGCCUCGUCCACACGGACUUCUCCUGGUUGUCGAACCGGUCGAGGGUCAUCCAACUUCUUGUUUAUCAGGCUACCGUUUGAUAAAAUGUAAGAUAUUUCUGUUUGGAAGGGUUUCCUGACGUCCGGACCGGUCAUACUUUUGCAAGAUACAUGCGAGCAUUGCUGUGUCCAACCUGCACAAGAAUGCCAAGAAGUCCUUCUCGGAGACGAUUAAGGACAUGUACCUGCACUACAACGAGAGAUCUGGGCUCCUUCUUUGUGGCUUCCAAAUUUGAAAUGUUUCUUUGGGAGUUAGUUUAGUUUUCUGUUAUGGAUUCACAGCUUCUCACAUGUACCAUCCUCUUAGACCUUUAGAUUUUCAAAGAAACAAAUAAAGAUAUCGUGGUAUGGUCUCAAUAAUACAACUUAAAGCUUUUCAUGCUUUAUAUUUUCUUUGAAAUUUGCUCUUGAAGAAUCAUGUAUCUAUGUUAGAUUCGGUGAGAAAAGACGGCUUCCAAGCA